rnacentral:rRNA from 1 species
GAUGAACGCUGGCGGCGUGCCUAAUACAUGCAAGUCGAGCGAACGGACGAGAAGCUUGCUUCUCUGAUGUUAGCGGCGGACGGGUGAGUAACACGUGGAUAACCUACCUAUAAGACUGGGAUAACUUCGGGAAACCGGAGCUAAUACCGGAUAAUAUUUUGAACCGCAUGGUUCAAAAGUGAAAGACGGUCUUGCUGUCACUUAUAGAUGGAUCCGCGCUGCAUUAGCUAGUUGGUAAGGUAACGGCUUACCAAGGCAACGAUGCAUAGACGACCGGAGAGAGUGAUAGGCCGCACGGGAACUGAGACACGGACAAGACUACUGAGGGAGGCAGCAGUAGGGAAUCUGACGCAAUGGGCGAAAGCAUGACGGAGCAGCGCCGCGUGAGUGGUGAAGAUCUUCGGAGCGUAAAACUCUGUUAUUAGGGGAGAACAUAUGUGUAAGUAACUGUGCACAUAUUGACGGUACCGGAUCAGAAAGCCACGGCUAACUACGUG